AGCAGCCGCGGUAAUUCCAGCUCCAAUAGCGUAUAUUAAAGUUGUUGCAGUUAAAAAGCUCGUAGUUGAAUUUCGGGGUUAGUAGGUUGGUCAUGCCUCUGGUAUGUACUGGUCUCACUGAUUCCUCCUUCCUGAUGAGCCGUAAUGCCAUUAAUUUGGUGUUGCGGGGAAUUUGGACUGUUACUUUGAAAAAAUUAGAGUGUUUAAAGCAAGCUAACGCUUGAAUACAUUAGCAUGGAAUAAUGAAAUAGGACGUUCGAUCCUAUUUUGUUGGUUUCUAGGAUUGACGUAAUGAUUAAUAGGGAUAGUUGGGGGCAUUAGUAUUCAAUUGUCAGAGGUGAAAUUCUUGGAUUUAUUGAAGACUAACUACUGCGAAAGCAUUUGCCAAGGAUGUUUUCAUUAAUCAAGAACGAAAGUUAGGGGAUCGAAGACGAUCAGAUACCGUCGUAGUCUUAACCAUAAACUAUGCCGACUAGGGAUCGGAUGAUGUUGAUUUUUUAAUGA
rnacentral:misc_RNA from 1 species